rnacentral:rRNA from 1 species
GUCUACGGCCACACCUAGGCGAAAACACCAGUUCCCGUCCGAUCACUGCAGUUAAGCGUCUGAGGGCCUCGUUAGUACUAUGGUUGGAGACAACAUGGGAAUCCGGGAUGCUGUAGGCU